rnacentral:lncRNA from 1 species
CCCGGGUUUCCUUAUCGGUUGUCCAUAUUUCUUUGUCCCAUUAGGUUUCUUUUUCGUUUUCUUUUCAUUUUACAAGAAACAAGAGGCUGUCACAUUUAUUUGUGUCCUGGCAAUAUCACAAGAACCAUAACUGAUGAACGGUGAAAGUGAAAAUCGUCAAUAUCAAAUUUGACCUGCAUUUUGUCAUCAGUAUCAACAUAUUAAAAUUUGAAAGAGCUUAGGUUGAAUGGUUCAUGAGUAAAUGCAACAACAUGAAUGGAAACGCCAUUUUUUUAUCUUUCAAGAACCAUAACUCCUGAACGGUAAAAGUCAAAAUCAACAUUAUUUAACUUGACCUCCAUUUUGUCAUCAGUAACAACAUAUGAA